rnacentral:rRNA from 1 species
GUGGGGAAUUUUGGACAAUGGGCGCAAGCCUGAUCCAGCAAUGCCGCGUGCAGGAAGAAGGCCUUCGGGUUGUAAACUGCUUUUGUACGGAACGAAACGGCUCUGGUUAAUACCCGGGGCUAAUGACGGUACCGUAAGAAUAAGCACCGGCUAACUACGUGCCAGCAGCCGCGGUAAUACGUAGGGUGCAAGCGUUAAUCGGAAUUACUGGGCGUAAAGUGUGCGCAGGCGGUUUUGUAAGACAGGCGUGAAAUCCCCGGGCUCAACCUGGGAAUUGCGCUUGUGACUGCAAGGCUGGAGUGCGGCAGAGGGGGAUGGAAUUCCGCGUGUAGCAGUGAAAUGCGUAGAUAUGCGGAGGAACACCGAUGGCGAAGGCAAUCCCCUGGGCCUGCACUGACGCUCAUGCACGAAAGCGUGGGGAGCAAACAGGAUUAGAAACCCUGGUAGUCC